rnacentral:tRNA from 1 species
GUAGAUAUAGUUUAACCAAAAACACUAGAUUGUGAUUCUAGAAACAAAACUAAGUUUUUAUCUACU